rnacentral:rRNA from 1 species
CGGGGGGAGCAAGCGUUGUUCGGAUUUACUGGGCGUAAAGGGCGCGUAGGCGGCCACCGCGAGUCGACUGUGAAAUCUCCGGGCUUAACCCGGAAAGGUCAGCCGAUACUGCGGGGCUAGAGUGCAGAAGGGGCAACUGGAAUUCUCGGUGUAGCGGUGAAAUGCGUAGAUAUCGAGAGGAACACCUGCGGCGAAGGCGGGUUGCUGGGCUGACACUGACGCUGAUGCGCGAAAGCUAGGGGAGCGAACGGGAUUAGAUACCCCGGUAGUCCUAGCCUUAAACGAUGAAUGCUUGGUGUCUGGGGUUUUAUAGUCCCCGGGUGCCGUCGCUAACGCUUUAAGCAUUCCGCCUGGGGAGUACGGUCGCAAGACUG